rnacentral:tRNA from 1 species
AGGCCUCACUAGCCUGACGGGCCUCGAUCCCGUAAAAUAUUAGUUAA